rnacentral:rRNA from 1 species
UACGUAGGGUGCAAGCGUUAAUCGGAAUUACUGGGCGUAAAGCGUGCGCAGGCGGUUUUGUAAGUCUGUCGUGAAAUCCCCGGGCUCAACCUGGGAAUUGCGAUGGAGACUGCAAGGCUAGAAUCUGGCAGAGGGGGUAGAAUUCCACGUGUGAGCAGUGAAAUGCGUAGAGAUGUGGAGGAACACCGAUGGCGAAGGCAGCCCCCUGGGUCAAGAUUGACGCUCAUG